rnacentral:rRNA from 1 species
AGGUUUCCGAAGGGUGAACCUGCG